CCUCCCCUUCCCUUCAUUGCGGCUUCGUCCGUGCGGAGCCACCUGUGAGUAAUUAAUUAGCCGGUGCUGGUUCUCGGCGCGCCGUGGCCCGGGGGCUGCCAGGUUGCUGUGUACCUGGCAAAUGUUCCCAGACUGAGAAUGGCAUGAUGUGGAGGGCACUGCAGUGAAAGUGUUAAAUGCCCCUUUCUUUGGAGACCUGCAAACGAAAAAGAAAUAGAAGCCAUUAAACCCACCUUGUUCAGAGAGAACAUUAACUCAGCACAACAUGGCACAGCAUAGUGUUGUCCUUGGAUUAUUCAUGAUGACUGUUUUAUCACUGUUGGAUGGAAGUUCAGCUUUCCUGUUAAAUCAGCGUCUGAAGGGAAGAUUUCAAAGAGACCGUAGAAACAUCCGCCCAAACAUCAUCCUUGUUCUUACUGAUGAUCAGGAUGUAGAACUUGGUUCUAUGCAGGUGAUGAAUAAAACCAGACGGAUCAUGGAGCAGGGAGGGGCCCAUUUCAUCAACGCCUUCGUGACGACGCCCAUGUGCUGCCCGUCGCGCUCCUCCGUCCUGACGGGCAAGUACGUCCACAACCACAACACCUACACCAACAACGAGAACUGCUCCUCUCCCUCCUGGCAGGCCCAGCACGAAAUAAGGACGUUUGCAGUGUACCUCAACAACACAGGCUACAGGACAGCUUUCUUUGGAAAGUACCUAAAUGAAUACAAUGGCUCCUAUGUGCCUCCUGGUUGGAAAGAAUGGGUUGGAUUGCUUAAAAACUCUCGAUUUUACAACUACACACUCUGUAGAAAUGGAGCGAAGGAGAAGCAUGGAUAUGACUACUCCAGGGAUUAUCUAACUGAUCUGAUUACCAAUGACAGUAUUACCUUCUUCAGACUCUCCAAGAAGAUGUAUCCUCACAGGCCUGUGCUGAUGGUCAUAAGCCACGCUGCUCCUCAUGGCCCUGAAGAUUCAGCCCCUCAGUACUCACAUCUCUUUCCUAAUGCCUCACAACACAUCACUCCCAGUUAUAACUAUGCCCCAAACCCAGACAAGCACUGGAUCAUGAGGUACACUGGCCCCAUGAAGCCCAUACACAUGGAGUUCACUAACAUGCUGCAGAGGAAGCGCCUGCAAACACUCAUGUCUGUGGAUGACUCGAUGGAGAUGAUUUACAACACGUUGGUUGAAACAGGAGAACUGGACAACACGUAUCUGAUAUACACAGCAGACCAUGGCUAUCAUAUUGGGCAGUUUGGGCUGGUGAAAGGGAAGUCCAUGCCCUAUGAGUUCGAUAUCAGAGUUCCCUUCUACGUCCGAGGCCCCAACGUCGAGGCCGGGUCCUUGAAUCCUCACAUCGUGUUGAAUAUUGAUCUGGCACCUACGAUUCUGGAUAUUGCUGGGUUGGAUAUUCCCUCUGACAUGGAUGGUAAAUCCAUUCUAAAGCUGCUGGAUUCAGAGAGACCAGUAAAUAGGUUCCACUUAAAGAAAAAGAUGAAGGUGUGGAGAGACUCGUUCCUUGUGGAAAGAGGUAAACUGCUGCAUAAGAGGGAGAAUGAGAAGGUAGAUGCCCAAGAAGAAAACUUUCUACCCAAAUACCAGCGUGUGAAAGACCUCUGUCAGCGAGCUGAGUAUCAAACAGCUUGUGAACAGCUUGGCCAGAAGUGGCAGUGUGUGGAAGAUGCCAGUGGAAAGCUCAAGCUGCACAAGUGCAAGGGAAUGGCCAACUUGGCAGCUGCAGGCAACCGCAAAGGCACCUCCAACCUUCUGCCCAAGUACUACAGCAGGAACAGGGAGGAGUGCAACUGUGAGGAGAAUGAAUACAAGCUGAGCCACGUUGGACAAAGGAAGAAACUCUUCUCCAAGAAAAAAUUCAAACCAAGCUACGUCCGGAGUCGCUCCGUGCGUUCCGUGUCUGUGGAGCUGGCUGGAGCUGUUUAUAACCUGGGCUUAGAGGAUGGAUACCAGCCCAUCUUCCCAAGGAACAUCUCCAAGCGUCACAAGGUGCAGAGGGCUGUUCUCCGUGAGGAGGAGGACAGAGACGUGGGGGAGUACAGUGGCACUGGUGGCAUUGCAGAGUACACAGCCCCUAACCUGAUCAAAGUGACCCACAGGUGUUACAUCCUGGAGAAUGACACUGUUCAGUGUGACACAGAUCUGUACAGGUCACUGCAAGCUUGGAAGGACCAUAAACUUCAUAUUGACCACGAGAUUGAAACCUUGCAAAAUAAAAUAAAAAACCUGAGGGAGGUGAGAGGUCAUCUAAAGAAGAAACGACCUGAGGAGUGUGAUUGUAACAAGAUAAGUUAUCAUUCAAAACACAAAACCAAGCUGAGGCACAAGGGAUCCAGUCUUCAUCCUUUCAAGAAAGCCCUCCAGGAGAAGGACAGGCUGUGGCUGCUGCGGGAGCAGAGGAGGAAGAAGAAGCUGCGCAAGCUGCUGAAGAGGAUCAAAAACAACGACACGUGCAGCAUGCCCGGCCUCACCUGCUUCACCCACGACAACCAGCACUGGCAAACUGCUCCCCUCUGGACACUGGGCCCUUUCUGUGCCUGUACCAGUGCCAACAACAACACGUACUGGUGUUUGAGGACAAUCAACGAGACCCACAACUUCCUCUUCUGUGAAUUUGCUACUGGAUUUCUGGAGUAUUUUGAUCUCAAUACUGAUCCAUAUCAGCUAAUUAAUGCAGUGAAUACGCUCGACAGAGAGGUUCUCAAUCAACUGCACGUCCAGCUCAUGGAACUCAGGAGCUGCAAAGGGUAUAAGCAAUGCAAUCCAAGAACUAGGAACAUGGAUCUAGGUAAGUGCCUCUCCUGUUGCACUCACAAACCCCCCAAAAAGGAAAUGGGGCUUGCUCUUACCAUUAUGAAACUUGAAUCAGCCAAAAGGAUUUUAGUAUUUCUUAGUACUGGUAAUGUCCUACUGAGCUGGUAACUGCAUGCUCAGAUUUUUGUAGGUGUUCAGUUUGUGUUAUGUGAUGUUUUUAAAAUUAAGAAUGACACUUAAAUCACUCAUCAGCCUAGUGAUGAGUGUUACAGAGAUGCAGAGGAUGAUGAGGAAAGAAAGAUACUGGUGAAAGAGGGAAAGAAUACCCUAAUAGCCACUAUCAAGCUCAUAGGCCAGUUCAAGUUGGAAGAGACUUGUGGAGUUGUGCAGGGUCAGAUGUGAGGGCAUGCCAGGUUACUCAGGGCAUCGGGUGAUCUGUUAUUAAGUCUUUUUUAAAAUUGUCUUACCUGAUACAGGCAAUCCCUGGUAACAUUGUUAAUUUUUCUUCACCUAGGACUUAAAGAUGGAAGCUACGAGCAGUACAGAGGACAACUGUGGGAAGGCUGGGAGGGCUAAUCUCCCCAACUGCUGCACCUCCAUGAGGAUACAAACUGGCCAGAACUUGAAUCCCUGUACAGACUAAAUGAAUUGUAACAUUAGCCUGAAGGACUGGAUAAACUUUGAGGCUGAAAUAGGUAGAACGUUUGCACUGGUGAGUGAGUUAAAUAGAUGCAGUGAAACUGUGGGAAAUGCUGUCAGAAAUACAGGUCUCUGAACUCCACUAUUGUACCUGCUUUUUGCUUUGGAUUAUACCUCACCUGCUUCACGAGGCAUUUUACUUCCAAGAAGACACAAGUAACGCUGAGCCAGGAAUUGAGAGCAGAGGAAGCACAGCCCCAUCCCAAAGAGCCAUUCCAGCGUUUACACACACAGCUGAGGGGAACUCCAAACCAUUGUCAGCUCAGCUUUCUCUUCAGUUGUCAGAGAAACACUUCAAAGCCAAGUAUAACUCUAAAGCAAGAUUUAGAAUCUUGGAUGCUUUUGCUUCUCCCUGGGGUGAAGGCAGUGGUUGAACAGAACUUUGAGCAGCACUGAGUGUUCUCAACACCACGACAUUUCUCCAGUCUCCUCUGAGGAUACAUUUUAGUUCCAUCUGUUUGUCCAUCCUACUGCCACCUCUACGAAGAUUAGAGAAAAUCUUCACUAACAGAUUUUUGGAGGGGUUGUGUAAAAAUAUUGCUCAAUAUACUGUUUGCAAAGCAAUUCCUUCAGGUUGUAAAGAAUUUUGUUAAUAAAAAGAGUGUAAUGCCCACGGCCCGUUUCUCAAAAUGUUACUUACUGUGGCUUAGGACAGUCAGAAUUCAUCCAUUUUUAGAAGUACUGAAAAAUUUCGGUAAAUGUACAUCUCAAAUUUUAACAAAAUCAGAUUUGUAUGAAGUUUUUUCUUUUUGUGGUAAUAGCCUGUUGUGUGUUCAAAACCAAAACUACUCCUUUGAGAAAGCAGCGUUUGCUCAGCAGUGUAACUUCUACUUUUAUUUUUUAAAAAAGGCAGCUCCGAGAAGUUCAAUACUUGCAGUCAAUAAAGAAUAAUCUAGUUAAUAGUUUAGUCUACAAAAAAAGUUGAAGUUCUGAAUGACAGUUACUGUUUAAAGGCUUUUAAAGGGAAAAAAACCCCUAUCAUUUUACUAAAGAAGCACAGUGUACAGAGUUAUUUGAGUAUUUUCAUAAGGACAUUAUUAAAUACGUUGUAGUACAGGCCAUUGUAGCACAGGCAUUAGUGGUGAGAUUUGUAUUUAUAAUCCAUGUUACUCUGCUACCUGUUUUAAAGGCACGUGCCCGAGGGUGCUCAUGGGGCAGGACUUGACCAACUGUGGCCUUCACUCCUAACAAAGAGGUACUUUCUUUUAAAACAGAAACUUAACUUGCUCUUUUAGAAAUGCAGUGUAAAAAAAAAAAAAGAAAAAAUACAGCAUGGAAAUUAUUUUGGAACCCUUCCUGGUUUUGCACAUAAGGAAAAUCAAGUGGAAUCAUAUCCAGGCAUGUAGAUCUCUGGUACCACACCCCCCUACUCAAAAAAUAGACUUGGAUUUAGGAACUAAGGAAAAAUCAAACAAACAAACAAAGAAAACUCCUCAUAAAACAAAAACCUGCUCAAAAAGCAGAAGUGGAGUCUUUGUAAAUGUGCUAUACAGCAAGACUGGGCUUGAGUAUUUGUAUUACAUGUGGUAAGUCAAAUAUACUUCCCAAAGUUUUCUUGCAAGCUUUUUUUAAUUAUGGAAGUAAAAUAUGAUUGUCUGUCUUAAUCUAGCCAUGGAUUUUCUUUGCAACUUGUUACAGCUUUCAUGGAUUAUUAGAAAUAUCUACUAGAUGAUGAGAUCCUGAAUCAAUACAAAUAAGUAAAAAAUGAAACACAUUUUUGCUGCUUCCCAGAGAAAAAUUUUAGCCAUCUGCUAAACUUUACAGAAAGAGGUUAGAUGUAAAAAAAUUGGCACUUACCUUUUUUUUGUGUGUUCAGCCUUUAGUCCUUGGCCAGCUGAGGUGGAAAUCCUGCAGGGCCCAGUGUUCCUGCUCCUGUUGAAAAAAAGUUACCUUGUUCCUUACCCAGACCCCUGAGCUGUGGGGUUGGUGGGGACACAAGAAGCAGCUGCUGUUUUGUGAAAGGUAAGUUGUUGCCAAACUGGGGAAAGCUGCCACCUCUUCACCUCUCAGCUCUUGUACAAACUGCAGUCUGAGUUGACAAAGCCACACAUCCCGGGUGCUCUCCAUGCUAAAUGGGUCCCAGCAGGGAAAGGUCGCAGUUGUUGCUCCCUCAGCUUUUGCAGCCAAUUAGGAGAAGAUGGAAACCAUUCUCUGCACAGUUUUCCUCAGUGGCAGCACCGACUUUUCUCUGACCUUUGCAAGAUACAGUCAUGAACCUUAAAGUAUUAGACAGCUAAUCAAGUUCUGAUUUUAAAUAGAAACCUUUAUUUACAUUAUUAUUAACAUCCAAACACAAAAGCCAGAAGGGCGGUAAUACCUUACAACCAACUCUUUUAUAAAUCAGUCCCCGUGAUUUUUUCUGUUUUGCAAAAUAAAGAUACAGAUAUUUCAAGCAAUACUUACAAUGUAAACUAAACUUAAAUGCAGUUCUCAAUACUGUAUGCCUUCUCCUGAGAAUUUUUUUAAAUAUUGCUCUCAGAAUUACAUGGUUUCAUACUUGCUGUAUCAUUCUGUCAUCUGGUAGCCUGCACAUAAAUUCUAAAAUAAAAGGUGUGCUAAUUGGUGCAACAUUCAAAUAAGUUUUGUCUUGUGACUGAAACGUGGUCUGGAUUUUCUAACUUUGAAAGCAGUAUUUUAGGCCAAGAAAUAAAAAGUAUUACAUAUGAGUUUUAUUAAUAACCACAUGAUUUCUGUGAUCAAAAGACAUGUAGUAAAACAACACAUUUAUGCAGCAGUGAUCAGAGGUGGCUGUACUAGCUAAUUGAUCUCUCAGUCUUGAAUAAUGUUAUACAGGUUGUUUUUUAAAAACAUUCAGAAAAAUCUGCUGCCACAGAACCAAAGCAAAACUGAUGGCAAUAACUAAAUGUCAGCAGAUUUCAAACUAGAUGUCCUAUGCAGGAUUAGUGCUGCCAGGAAAGAUGUCAUCAUCAAUGCUUUUUAAAAAUGCCCCCUCCCCCUUAAUCAAGUUUAAACUAAAAAUCUUUGGAUUCAGCAAAAGAAAAAAAAAAAAAGGUACAAUCUAAACACAGAUGAGAAAAU